CUUCUUCAAGGAAUUUCAGUCAAGACAGAGGAGGAGGAGGAGGAAGAAGAGAAACCCUAAUUGCUGGAGCAUGAUGGCUUUUGGGUUAAAAGCCCGUUUUGGCCCUCCCUGAAACAAGUUGAUGAUGGUGGGGGCAGUGCCCCCUAUGAGAUGAAGGCAAAGCCAAACAUGAAAAUUGUUGUCAGAUGAAGGGGACCUCUCUUUCUUUCUUUCUUUCUUUCUUCUUCAUCUUCUGGACAUCAUCAUCAUCAUCAUCAUCCUCUCAUUUCACACCACACCACACCAGACCUCUCUCUUUCUUUCUCUAAAAAAUCAUAUUCCAUUCUGACAUCUUUCCUUCAUCACCAUAGAAGAGAAGAAUUGAAUUAAUAAUGGUUAAAACCAGACAACAACCCAUUUUCGUGCUGUUGACGUUGCUGAUCUUCCUUCUUUUUUUGUCUGUACAAGGUUUAAGAGGAGAAGAAGGUUAUAAUAGAAUAAGAAGAAUAAGAAGAAUGAUGAUUGGUUCGAGUCGGCCAAGUUGCACGUACAACGAGUGCAGAGGAUGCAAGUUUCGGUGCAUAGCCGAACAAGUUCCGGUCGAAGGAAAUGAUCCCAUCAACACAUCUUAUCACUACAAAUGUGUCUGUCAUACCCACCAUAUCUAAUUCCAUAUAUCAUUCAUUCAGCUUCUACCUUUUUUAUAUAUUCUUUUCUUUUGGCCAUAAUAUAUAAUAAUUAAUUAUGAUCUACUCUAAAUUAGUUAAUUUGUGCUUCA